rnacentral:rRNA from 1 species
UACGUAGGGUGCAAGCGUUGUCCGGAAUUAUUGGGCGUAAAGAGCUCGUAGGCGGUCUGUCGCGUCUGCUGUGAAAACCUGGGGCUUAACCCCGGGCCUGCAGUGGGUACGGGCAGACUAGAGUGCGGUAGGGGAGACUGGAAUUCCUGGUGUAGCGGUGAAAUGCGCAGAUAUCAGGAGGAACACCGAUGGCGAAGGCAGGUCUCUGGGCAUUAACUGACGCUGAGGAGCGAAAGCAUGGGGAGCGAACAGG